UGCGUAGGGUGCGAGCGUUGUCCGGAAUUAUUGGGCGUAAAGAGCUCGUAGGCGGUCUGUCGCGUCGAUCGUGAAAACUUGGGGCUUAACCCUGAGCUUGCGGUCGAUACGGGCAUGACUGGAGUUCGGCAGGGGAGACUGGAAUUCCUGGUGUAGCGGUGAAAUGCGCAGAUAUCAGGAGGAAUACCGAUGGCGAAGGCAGGUCUCUGGGCUGACACUGACGCUCAUGCACGAAAGCGUGGGGAGCAAACAGG
rnacentral:rRNA from 1 species